rnacentral:rRNA from 1 species
GACGAACGCUGGCGGCGUGCUUAACACAUGCAAGUCGAACGGAAAGGCCCUGCUUUUGUGGGGUGCUCGAGUGGCGAACGGGUGAGUAACACGAGAGUAACCUGCCCUUGACUUUGGGAUAACUUCAGGAAACUGGGGCUAAUACCGGAUAGGAGCUCCUGCUGCAUGGUGGGGGUUGGACAGUUUCGGCGGUUGGGGAUGGACUCGCGGCUUAUCAGCUUGUUGGUGGGGUAGUGGCUUACCAAGGCUUUGACGGGUAGCCGGCCUGAGAGGGUGACCGGCCACAUUGGGACUGAGAUACGGCCCAGACUCCUACGGGAGGCAGCAGUGGGGAAUAUUGCACAAUGGGCGGAAGCCUGAUGCAGCAACGCCGCGUGCGGGAUGACGGCCUUCGGGUUGUAAACCGCUUUCGCCUGUGACGAAGCGCGAGUGACGGUAAUGGGUAAAGAAGCACCGGCUAACUACGUG